CCUUCAAGGUAACAGCCUGCCUUCAGCGGCUGCAGCCACAGGUCUCAGAAGCCCAUUCAUUUCUUCCCCAAAGUUCCCCUUUUGUUGAAUACCAGGUUAGCCAAGUAGGGGUCCAGGGGGCUGGGGCAAGCUGCGGGGUGCUGAAGAAACACCCUUGGCCUCCCCGGCCUAUUUGGUAUAAGGAGGAAUGGAGAGGACAGCCGGGCAGUGAGCAUCCCCUGGGCUUCCUCUGCCAUUUUCCAUCCCUCACCGGCAUGCAGGUCCCACUCACAGCAGCAGUGGGUGUGGUGGGGGGCAAGCUUGGGGUGCCAGCCUGACGCAUUCUUU
rnacentral:misc_RNA from 1 species